CCCAUGUUGGGGUUUAAAUAUAGAAUUUGGAUAAUAGGCAAUGGACUUAUAUUACAGCAAGGGAGGUUUAGGUUGGACUUUAGGGAAAACUUCCUAACUGUCCGGGUAGUUAAGCACUGAAAUAAAUUGCCUAGGGAGGUAGUGAAAUUGCUGUCAUUGGCAAUUUUUAAAAGCAGGUUAGACAAGCGCAUGCCAUGGAUGGUCUUGAUAAUACUUAGUCCUACCUCAUUGCAGGUAACUGGACUAGAAGACUGCUUGUGGUCCCUUCCAGUCCUACGAUUCUAUGCCUUAGUCUUCUGAAUCCUGCAUGUCUCUCUUUUGUGUGCUGUGGAUCCGCAAGCCUCACAAUCAUGUAAAUUGUAUAGUGUUCUGUGCCAAGGCAUUCAGCCUUGUGUGGCCAUUGGGUAGAGUGGUUCAUCACUCCCUUUUAGGAAACGGUUCAUUUUUCCAACCCAUGAAUGACUAUGGAGUAUUCCAGACAGACAUAACAACCUACAGCAUUGAGGAGCCGGUAGCAGUUACAUCUGAACGCACCCCAAAAAACACAAUGGUGCAUCUCUCUCUGAGCAAGCAGCCUCCAUUCUGA
rnacentral:lncRNA from 1 species